rnacentral:rRNA from 1 species
GACGUAGGGCGCGAGCGUUGUCCGGAUUUAUUGGGCGUAAAGAGCUCGUAGGCGGCUUGUCGCGUCGAAUGUGAAAUCUCGGGGCUCAACUCCGAGCUUGCAUUCGAUACGGGCAGGCUAGAGUUCGGUAGGGGAGACUGGAAUUCCUGGUGUAGCGGUGAAAUGCGCAGAUAUCAGGAGGAACACCGGUGGCGAAGGCGGCGACCUGGGUAGAUACUGACGCUGAGGCGCGAAAGCGUGGGGAGCAAACAGG